rnacentral:pre_miRNA from 1 species
AGGCAGUGUAGUUAGCUGAUUGUGUGUCUCCCCAGCAAUCACUAGCUUCACUGUCAUC